rnacentral:rRNA from 1 species
AGCGAACGCUGGCGGCAGGCUUAACACAUGCAAGUCGAGCGCCCCGCCAGGGGAGCGGCAGACGGGAGAGUAACACGUGGGAACAUACCUUUUGGUUCGGAACAACUGAGGGAAACUUCAGCUAAUACCGGAUAAGCCCUUACGGGGAAAGAUUUAUCGCCGUAAGAUUGGCCCGCGUCUGAUUAGCUAGUUGGUGAGGUAACGGCUCACCAAGGCGACGAUCAGUAGCUGGUCUGAGAGGAUGAUCAGCCUCACUGGGACUGAGACACGGCCCAGACUCCUACGGGAGGCAGCAGUGGGGAAUAUUGGACAAUGGGGGCAACCCUGAUCCAGCCAUGCCGCGUGAGUGAUGAAGGCCUUAGGGUUGUAAAGCUCUUUUGCCCGGGAAGAUAAUGACGGUACCGGGAGAAUAAGCCCCGGCUAACUUCGUG